GAAAUGCGAUAAGUAAUGUGAAUUGCAGAAUUCAGUGAAUCAUCGAAUCUUUGAACGCACAUUGCGCCCAUUAGUAUUCUAGUGGGCAUGCCUGUUCGAGCGUCAUUUCAACCCUUAAGCCUAGCUUAGUGUUGGGAGACUGCCUAAUACGCAGCUCCUCAAAACCAGUGGCGGAGUCGGUUCGUGCUCUGAGCGUAGUAAUUCUUUAUCUCGCUUCUGCAAGCCGGACUGGCAACAGCCAUAAACCGCACCCUUCGGGGGCACUUUUUUAAUGGUUGACCUCGGAUCAGGUAGGAAUACCCGCUGAACUUAA
rnacentral:misc_RNA from 1 species